GACGAACGCUGGCGGCGUGCUUAACACAUGCAAGUCGAACGGAAAGGCCCUGCUUUUGUGGGGUGCUCGAGUGGCGAACGGGUGAGUAACACGUGAGUAACCUGCCCUUGACUUUGGGAUAACUUCAGGAAACUGGGGCUAAUACCGGAUAGGAGCUCCUGCUGCAUGGUGUGGGUUGGAAAGUUUCGGCGGUUGGGGAUGGACUCGCGGCUUAUCAGCUUGUUGGUGGGGUAGUGGCUUACCAAGGCUUUGACGGGUAGCCGGCCUGGGAGGGUGACCGGCCACAUUGGGACUGAGAUACGGCCCAGACUGCUACGGGAGGCAGCAGUGGGGAAUAUUGCACAAUGGGCGGAAGCCUGAUGCAGCAACGCCGCGUGCGGGAUGACGGCCUUCGGGUUGUAAACCGAUUUCGCCUGUGACGAAGCGUGAGUGACGGUAAUGGGUAAAGAAGCACCGGCUAACUACGUG
rnacentral:rRNA from 1 species